UUAGCGAGAGGAAGGUGGGAAUCCUUCCGGCCGAAUAUCUAAGGUUUCCAGAGUAAAGCUGAUCUGCUCUGGGUAAGUCGGGGCCUAAGGCGAGGUCGAAAGACGUAGUCGAUGGAUAACAGGUUGAAAUUCCUGUACUAUCCUGUAACAGAACUGUGGGGACACAGGCAGAGAGCGUGAGCCGGGAAUGGAAAGACCGGUACAAGCGAGGUAGGAGAAGAGUUGGCAAAUCCGCUCUUUAAUCUGAAGACGUGAUGUGGACUGAGAAUAAGUAGGGAAGCACGUGAGCUGACUGUCAAGAAAAGCCGCUAUUGUUUGCAGGAUACCCGUACCGUAAACCGACACAGGUGGAUGAGGAGAGAAUCCUAAGGCCGACGGGACAAGCAUUGUUAAGGAACUCGGCAAAAUGACUCCGUAACUUCGGGAGAAGGAGUGCCAGUAAGAUGGCCGCAGAGAAUUGGCCCAAGCAACUGUUUAGCAAAAACACAGGUCUAUGCAAAACCGAAAGGUGAGGUAUAUGGGCUGACGCCUGCCCGGUGCUGGAAGGUUAAGGGGAGAGGUUAGCGCAAGCGAAGCUUUGAACUUAAGCCCCAGUAAACGGCGGCCGAAACAAUAACGGUCCUAAGGUAGCGAAAUUCCUUGUCGGGUAAGUUCCGACCCGCACGAAAGGCGUAAUGAUUUGGGCACUGUCUCAACAAUGCACCCGGUGAAAUUGAAAUACCAGUGAAGAUGCUGGUUACCUGCGCCAGGACGGAAAGACCCCAUGGAGCUUUACUCCAGCUUGAUACUGGGAUUCGGUAUUGCAUGUACAGGAUAGGUGGGAGGCUAGGAAAUGGUAACGCCAGUUGCCAUGGAGCCAAUGUUGGGAUACCACCCUUGCAGUACUGGGUUUCUAACCAGCAGCCGUGAUCCGGCUGGGGGACAAUGUCAGGUGGGGAGUUUGACUGGGGCGGUCGCCUCCGAAAGGGUAUCGGAGGCGCUCAAAGGUUCCCUCAGAAUGGUUGGAAACCAUUCGAAGAGUGCAAAGGCAGAAGGGAGCUUGACUGCGACACCGACGGGUGGAGCAGGUACGAAAGUAGGACUUAGUGAUCCGGUGGUAUAAAGUGGGAUUGCCAUCGCUCAACGGAUAAAAGCUACCCUGGGAUAACAGGCUUAUCACUCCCAAGAGUUCACAUCGACGGAGUGGUUUGGCACCUCGAUGUCGGCUCAUCGCAUCCUGGGGCUGAAGUAGGUCCCAAGGGUUGGGCUGUUCGCCCAUUAAAGCGGUACGCGAGCUGGGUUCAGAACGUCGUGAGACAGUUCGGUCCCUAUCCGGCGUGGGCGUAAGAUAUUUGAGAGGAGCUGUCCUUAGUACGAGAGGACCGGGAUGGACUGGCCGCUGGUGUAUCUGUUGUCUUACCAAAAGCAUAGCAGAGUAGCCAAGCCGGGAAGGGAUAAACGCUGAAGGCAUCUAAGCGUGAAGCCCCCCUCAAGAUGAGAUAUCUCAUAACGUCAAGUUAGUAAGACCCCUUGAAGACGACGAGGUAGAUAGGGCAGAGGUGGAAGUGUGGUAACACAUGGAGCUGACUGUUACUAAUAGGUCGAGGGCAUAACCG
rnacentral:rRNA from 1 species